CAACACCUCCUACAACUCCACCCAGCCGGCCGUCAAUCACUCUGCACACUUCCUGUUUCCUGACGCAGAGCCCGCCCACCGUGGAAACUACAGCUGUGUUUAUCACCUCCAUGUUUUUGGACAUGACUUCUGGUCAGAGAGCCACCUGCUGUCUCUGUCUGUGUCCGAUCCAACAGCUGUGGUGGUCAGAUGGGUGGUGGUGCCGCUGUCUCUGCUGCUGGUGCAGGGGGCGUUGUGGCUGUACUUUAAGGCCAGCAGGGGGCAGAUCGGCAGACCGGGCGGACGCUGAGCGGAGUGCAGUGGAGGGAUGAAGUCGGUCCUCUGAACCUUCCUGCUGUGGAGACCAGAUGGUUUUUAUGAGCUUCUUACAGCAAUGAUGAAUCUCAUCAGGUUCCCACAGACAGUGGAACAAGGUUCCUUUUCCUUUUGUGGACCCUGGUGGAAAAACGAGCCUUGUUUUGCCGUAUACUGGACCACGGUGGAUGUCCUUUUUUAUCUCCUUUUUACUCCUUUUUCAUUGAUACGAUUUCAGUCGUAUCAUGGAUGCUCAUUUCAUCAUAUAUUAUCAUCUGCUGCCCUCAGGCUGACUGUGUUUAACUGACCAGAUAUUUUUGUGACUGUAAUCCAACUGAUUAGCUUGUUCUGCACCGAGGUGAGGCAGGAUGUGGUUUGCAGCAGGUGUGGAACCGUAUGGAACCGGACCAGUUUGUAUUUGGUCCUGAGUGGUUCCAUCUGGGCCUGAAGAACUCGUGUGGAUCUCACUGCCUGCAUGUCUUGUUUUUCUCCUCUCUUCCUUAUUAUUAUUAUGAUAAUUUUUUUUUUUUUUUUAGAAUUGAGGCUGCAGCUGGUUUCCUUGGUAACGAAACAGCAUCAGAGGACAUGUCCAUGUCACUGGAGCGUAUAAGUAGACCCUGUUUCCCAGUGGGUGGCGCUCUCACUCUCACUCAGAGCUCUUUGAAUGAUACGCUGUCAGUUUUCCUUUUCUGAAUUAUCAGAGAAAAGAUGGAACCCUGACCUGAAAUCUGGAGAGAGGUGACCUCCGAGGUUGAUGUUACCCAGAUACCAAAUUUAGACUAAAAACAGAUUAAUAUGAGCAGCAGAAUCUAAAAACUGCUCACCUGAAGUGACCAUAUUAAAAUAAUACAUGCCUGAAAUUUGAGACGUAACAGAACCAACGCAAAAUCAGUUCUCUUUGAUUUCUUCAUUUUUUGGUAUUUUACUU